CAUAGCGGAGGAAAAGAAACUAACAAGGAUUCCCCUAGUAACUGCGAGUGAAGUGAAGCGGGAAAAGCUCAAAUUUAAAAUCUGGCAGUCUUUGGCUGUCCGAGUUGUAAUCUAGAGAAGUGUUAUCCGCGCUGGACCGUGUACAAGUCUCCUGGAAUGGAGCGUCAUAGAGGGUGAGAAUCCCGUCUUUGACACGGACUGCCAGGGCUUUGUGAUGCGCUCUCAAAGAGUCGAGUUGUUUGGGAAUGCAGCUCAAAAUGGGUGGUAAAUUCCAUCUAAAGCUAAAUAUUGGCGAGAGACCGAUAGCGAACAAGUACCGUGAGGGAAAGAUGAAAAGAACUUUGGAAAGAGAGUUAAACAGUACGUGAAAUUGCUGAAAGGGAAACGCUUGAAGUCAGUCGCAUUGUGUGGGAAUCAACCUUGCUUUUGCUGGGCGUAUUUUCCAUAUGAUGGGUCAGCAUCAAUUUCGACCGUUGGAUAAAGUUCAAGGGAAUGUGGCAUCUUCGGAUGUGUUAUAGCCCUUGGUUGUAUACAACGAUUGGGAUUGAGGAACUCAGCACGCCGAAAGGCCGGGUCUCGUACCACGUUCGUGCUUAGGAUGCUGGCAUAAUGGCUUUAAUCGACCCGUCUUGAAACACGGACCAAGGAGUCUAACAUGCCUGCGAGUAUUUGGGUGAAAAACCCGAGUGCGUAAUGAAAGUGAAAGUUGAGAUCCCUGUCAUGGGGAGCAUCGACGCCCGGACCAGACCUUUUGUGACGGAUCUGCGGUAGAGCAUGUAUGUUGGGACCCGAAAGAUGGUGAACUAUGCCUGAAUAGGGUGAAGCCAGAGGAAACUCUGGUGGAGGCUCGUAGCGAUUCUGACGUGCAAAUCGAUCGUCAAAUUUGGGUAUAGGGGCGAAAGACUAAUCGAACCAUCUAGUAGCUGG
rnacentral:rRNA from 1 species